rnacentral:rRNA from 1 species
AGUGAACGCUGGCGGUAGGCCUAACACAUGCAAGUCGAGCGGCAGCACAGUAAGAGCUUGCUCUUACGGGUGGCGAGUGGCGGACGGGUGAGGAAUACAUCGGAAUCUACUUUUUCGUGGGGGAUAACGUAGGGAAACUUACGCUAAUACCGCAUACGACCUACGGUUGAAAGCAGGGGAUCUUCGGACCUUGCGCGAUUGAAUGAGCCGAUGUCGGAUUAGCUAGUUGGCGGGGUAAAGGCCCACCAAGGCGGCGAUCCGUAGCUGGUCUGAGAGGAUGAUCAGCCACACUGGAACUGAGACACGGUCCAGACUCCUACGGGAGGCAGCAGUGGGGAAUAUUGGACAAUGGGCGCAAGCCUGAUCCAGCCAUACCACGUGGGUGAAGAAGGCCUUCGGGUUGUAAAGCCCUUUUGUUGGGAAAGAAAAGCAGCAGGUUAAUACCCCGCUGUUCUGACGGUACCCAAAGAAUAAGCACCGGCUAACUUCGUG